rfam:Parcubacteria bacterium GW2011_GWA1_49_11 TY36_C0009, whole genome shotgun sequence.
GCCGGCGUAGUUCAACGGUUAGAACGGAGCACUCAUAACGCUCAGAAAAUGGUUCAACUCCAUUCGCCGGCA